ensembl:lncRNA
CUGGGAAGUUUUUCCUGGCAAAUCCACCGGUGAAAUUGCAGCCAGGAGAGCAGGAGAAAGAGGUUUAUUUUCUGGUGGGCACGGGUGCCUCUCACCACCCGCAGAUGAUUUUGCAUCAGUAGUAGGAGCUACUGCCCAACAAGAAAGAGCUUCCCUUUGGGGAUCAAGUGUAUAUAGGCUGAGAAAAUAAGUCGGAAUACAUCAAUUCCUGUACAUGCCGGGUUCUCCAAAACCGUUCCUCUGGCAAGGCUCAUUAGAACAAAUGGAUGCAGAGAUUCAAUUCAAUAACACUGGAGCUAAGGGUCAAACAAGAUGAACUGAUUGCAAAUGGAACUGCGUUUGUCGUUGCUGUCGUCUUUGCAACUGUUGGGUGUUUAAAAAUAUUGUUUGUGGGAUUCCAUUUGUAAUGGAAGCGCUGUUGUUGCUGGGGACGUUGGUUCUGGCUCUCGUCCUGGGAAUUCGGUGUUCCCGUGCCCCGGGCAAGCAGGCAGAUUCCAUUACCCGGCAACGGAGACUCGAGAAGCGGCUGCUCUACGGUGUGAACGUUAAAUACUGGAUCCAAGGCGUCAGUGGUGUUAAUGCGUGAUCUGAGGGCAACUGGACGCUCGUUACACCCUGAAAAUAAGUGCGACCCCGUAUUUGUUGUUCGAAGCUUAGCCCGUAAUGCUGCCCGGGAAUUACGGUGCAACACAGGAGACCGGCAUUUCCGUUGGGGUCGUGAGCCGGGCUUUAAAGAGGAACGCGUAUCAGGUUUAACUGCUAUGCUGGCUAUAAGGCGUGGACCUUUGGGAACGAUAAGGAGUCAGUAGGAUUUAAUAUGGGGGGAGCACCGAGAAAGGAGGUUCCCAGGAGAGCCCCACUUGGAUGCGUCUUGGCUCACUGGCGAGAAAUUGCCGGGGAGCCUGAGCGAGAAAAAACUUCAAUCGAGCACUGUAAUCAGUGGUGGUUGUUACAGAAGCUGGAAAGCGGUGAGAAAUGGCCAGUGAAUGGCACUUGGAAUCACAAUACCCUUCUGCAGUGAGCGUUGUUCUUGCGGAAGGAGGGCAAGGGGAGGAAGCCGCCUACGCUGAUAAGGUUCUUCAUCGUCCGCAAUCAGCCCGAAUGGCAGCGGGACUGUGGGGUGGGGCCGCCCCAGGAUGCGAUGGUUUUAGCGUUAGAAAAGGAGAAAAGGGGUGGGGGAAAUGGUAACCUGCAACGCUGCUGUUCCUCGUGCAACACAGGGCAGUGUUGCACCAGCCCAGACAAAGUCAGGGAAGCAAGAGAAAGCCCGACUGAGUUUCUUGGUCAGUUCAGGGACGCUAUGAGGAGACAAACCCCCCGGAGCCAGGACUCCCUGCCGAGCACUCCCUGCCCGCGGCGCUCCCGCACGGCGGGCUCUUACCGACACGGGCUCUGCGGCUGACGGCGCUCCCGGCUCCGCGCACAGCGACGGCACACGCAGCUGCACCGCAACGCCUCCUGUCUGAGACUGAGCGCUUUCGGAACUGCUCUUCAGAUCCGCCACGAUCCCUCCGUGAGGUCCUCGCUAAGAAGAGCGCUCCGCCGGCACCGGUGUACGCCCAGCCCGACCCUUCUCUGCCCCUCUCCCCGCACACGACGGGCGCAGCCCCGCACCUCCACGAUGCUAAGGAAGAAAAAGAGCGGCUGAGCCCUUCCCCGCCCCGAGAGGCGACGGUCCAGCCGGGAGAGGAAGAAGUCCGAGCGCAACGGGGUAAUGCCGGGAGGCAGCGGGAAAGGGCCGAGCGGGGAAAAGAGCCCGAGCCCACGGGAGGGGCCCCGGGCAGUCCGUGCUGAGGGCGGCGGUGCCGUCCCGCUGUGCCGCGAGCUGAGGCGGAGGGAAGAGAGCGGCGGGAGUGAGCGGGGAGCUGUGCUGAGAGUGCGGGAGAGAAGGAGUGUCCUCCUGCGGGAGAAGGGACGGGCAGCGCGGGGACAGCGCGGGGACGGGGCUGGGAUGGCAGCGAGAGCGUUGGAAAGGCAGCAGCCCGGAGCGAGCUGCGGGCGGGCGCUGCACGGGCGGAGAGCA